UACGUAGGGGGCGAGCGUUGUCCGGAUUCAUUGGGCGUAAAGAGCGUGUAGGCGGCCAGGUAGGUCGGUUGUGAAAACUGAAGGCUCAACCUUCAGACGUCGACCGAAACCAUCUGGCUAGAGUCUGGGAGAGGAGAGUGGAAUUCCUGGUGUAGCGGUGGAAUGCGCAGAUAUCAGGAGGAACACCGGUGGCGAAGGCGGUUCUCUGGGCAUUACCUGACGCUGAGGAGCGAAAGUGUGGGGAGCGAACAGG
rnacentral:rRNA from 1 species